AUUGAACGCUGGCGGCAUGCCUUACACAUGCAAGUCGAACGGUAACGGGCCUUCGGGUGCCGACGAGUGGCGAACGGGUGAGUAAUGCAUCGGAACGUACCCAUCAGUGGGGGAUAACUCUCCGAAAGGAGGGCUAAUACCGCAUAUUCUGUGCGCAGGAAAGCGGGGGAUCGCAAGGCCUCGCGCUGAUGGAGCGGCCGAUGUCAGAUUAGCUAGUUGGUGGGGUAAAGGCCUACCAAGGCGACGAUCUGUAGCGGGUCUGAGAGGGUGAUCCGCCACACUGGGACUGAGACACGGCCCAGACUCCUACGUGAGGCAGCAGUGGGGAAGUUUGGACAAUGGGGGCAACCCUGAUCCAGCCAUGCCGCGUGAGUGAAGAAGGCCUUCGGGUUGUAAAGCUCUUUCGGCCGGGAAGAAAUCGCAUCUCCUAAUACGGGGUGUGGAUGACGGUACCGGAAUAAGAAGCACCGGCUAACUACGUGCCAGCAGCCGCAGUAA
rnacentral:rRNA from 1 species